GUGACUGCGUACCUUUUGUAUAAUGGGUCAGCGACUUAUAUUCUGUAGCAAGGUUAACCGUAUAGGGGAGCCGGAGGGAAACCGAGUCUUAAUUGGGCGUUAAGUUGCAGGGUAUAGACCCGAAACCCGGUGAUCUAGCCAUGGGCAGGUUGAAGGUUGGGUAACACUAACUGGAGGACCGAACCGACUAAUGUUGAAAAAUUAGCGGAUGACCUGUGGCUGGGGGUGAAAGGCCAAUCAAACCGGGAGAUAGCUGGUUCUCCCCGAAAGCUAUUUAGGUAGCGCCUCGUGAAUUCAUCUCCGGGGGUAGAGCACUGUUUCGGCUAGGGGGCCAUCCCGGCUUACCAACCCGAUGCAAACUGCGAAUACCGGAGAAUGUUAUCACGGGAGACACACGGCGGGUGCUAACGUCCGUCGUGAAGAGGGAAACAACCCAGACCGCCAGCUAAGGUCCCAAAGUCAUGGUUAAGUGGGAAACGAUGUGGGAAGGCCCAGACAGCCAGGAUGUUGGCUUAGAAGCAGCCAUCAUUUAAAGAAAGCGUAAUAGCUCACUGGUCGAGUCGGCCUGCGCGGAAGAUGUAACGGGGCUAAACCAUGCACCGAAGCUGCGGCAGCGAACGUAUCACCCAAGACAACUUUACGGAGUUGACGAUUGACGGAGCGAAGCGACGUCAAAGCGUUCAUUAAAGUCGAGUUGGCUUAGGGAUACGUUCGUUGGGUAGGGGAGCGUUCUGUAAGCCUGUGAAGGUGUGUCGUGAGGCAUGCUGGAGGUAUCAGAAGUGCGAAUGCUGACAUAAGUAACGAUAAAGCGGGUGAAAAGCCCGCUCGCCGGAAGACCAAGGGUUCCUGUCCAACGUUAAUCGGGGCAGGGUGAGUCGACCCCUAAGGCGAGGCCGAAAGGCGUAGUCGAUGGGAAACGGGUUAAUAUUCCCGUACUUGGUGUUACUGCGAAGGGGGGACGGAGAAGGCUAUGUUGGCCGGGCGACGGUUGUCCCGGUUUAAGCGUGUAGGUGUGUGUUCCAGGUAAAUCCGGUUCACUUUAACACUGAGGCGUGACGACGAGGCACUACGGUGCUGAAGCAACAAAUGCCCUGCUUCCAGGAAAAGCCUCUAAGCAUCAGGUAACAUCAAAUCGUACCCCAAACCGACACAGGUGGUCAGGUAGAGAAUACCAAGGCGCUUGAGAGAACUCGGGUGAAGGAACUAGGCAAAAUGGUGCCGUAACUUCGGGAGAAGGCACGCUGACACGUAGGUGAAGUGAUUUACUCAUGGAGCUGAAGUCAGUCGAAGAUACCAGCUGGCUGCAACUGUUUAUUAAAAACACAGCACUGUGCAAACACGAAAGUGGACGUAUACGGUGUGACGCCUGCCCGGUGCCGGAAGGUUAAUUGAUGGGGUCAGCGCAAGCGAAGCUCCUGAUCGAAGCCCCGGUAAACGGCGGCCGUAACUAUAACGGUCCUAAGGUAGCGAAAUUCCUUGUCGGGUAAGUUCCGACCUGCACGAAUGGCGUAAUGAUGGCCAGGCUGUCUCCACCCGAGACUCAGUGAAAUUGAACUCGCUGUGAAGAUGCAGUGUACCCGCGGCAAGACGGAAAGACCCCGUGAACCUUUACUAUAGCUUGACACUGAACAUUGAGCCUUGAUGUGUAGGAUAGGUGGGAGGCUUUGAAGUGUGGACGCCAGUCUGCAUGGAGCCGACCUUGAAAUACCACCCUUUAAUGUUUGAUGUUCUAACGUGGACCCGUAAUCCGGGUUGCGGACAGUGUCUGGUGGGUAGUUUGACUGGGGCGGUCUCCUCCUAAAGAGUAACGGAGGAGCACGAAGGUUGGCUAAUCCUGGUCGGACAUCAGGAGGUUAGUGCAAUGGCAUAAGCCAGCUUGACUGCGAGCGUGACGGCGCGAGCAGGUGCGAAAGCAGGUCAUAGUGAUCCGGUGGUUCUGAAUGGAAGGGCCAUCGCUCAACGGAUAAAAGGUACUCCGGGGAUAACAGGCUGAUACCGCCCAAGAGUUCAUAUCGACGGCGGUGUUUGGCACCUCGAUGUCGGCUCAUCACAUCCUGGGGCUGAAGUAGGUCCCAAGGGUAUGGCUGUUCGCCAUUUAAAGUGGUACGCGAGCUGGGUUUAGAACGUCGUGAGACAGUUCGGUCCCUAUCUGCCGUGGGCGCUGGAGAACUGAGGGGGGCUGCUCCUAGUACGAGAGGACCGGAGUGGACGCAUCACUGGUGUUCGGGUUGUCAUGCCAAUGGCACUGCCCGGUAGCUAAAUGCGGAAGAGAUAAGUGCUGAAAGCAUCUAAGCACGAAACUUGCCCCGAGAUGAGUUCUCCCUGAGACUUAGAGUCUCCUGAAGGAACGUUGAAGACGACGACGUUGAUAGGCCGGGUGUGUAAGCGCAGCGAUGCGUUGAGCUAACCGGUACUAAUGAACCGUGAGGCUUAACCUUACAACGCCGAAG
rnacentral:rRNA from 3 species